GGCCGCGGUAACAAUAAACGCAUUUGUGCUGCAGUGCAUAGGUAAAUAAUAGAAGAGUGUCGACGAAUCGCCUUAACUGUGGAAAUCACAGGCACUCUCAGGAAUAUCUUCAAACGGCUAACUUUCAAUAGCCCUUUGCGUUUGUGGUUACGAAGGAGCCUUUGUGGACGUACAAUGUUACCGGAAGAAGACAUGCGCAGUACAAAGUAGACGUUAUAAUAAAUGAGACAGACACAUCUAUUUUCUUCAAAAGACUUUUUACUACGGCGCGCCGAAGAAAAAGUUUUUUAUGGUCCUCGAGGGACAGUUCAAUGCAAUUUACCCAGAACAUAUGCUUAUCCAGCGCAAUGGGUCAAAAAUUUACCAAUUGGAACAGACUCUCUACAUGUCUCCAAACUCUUCUUACGCAGUUGUCAUGAUCACACUGAUCAAUUUUCGUGGUCCUAAAUGUAUGUUUUUUUUUGUGUUGUGCAAAAGAAUGCAUUAGUAUUCACGGUGACUACAGCACUACGUACCGGUAUGUUAUACUAUGCACAGAAUGUUGCUACUUUCCCUUUUCUCGAGUCCAGCUCAAAGCUGGACCGUGCCCGAGAAAAAUGCAGUGAAUUGUUGCGA